GACUCCUACGGGAGGCAGCAGUAGGGAAUCUUCCGCAAUGGGCGAAAGCCUGACGGAGCAACGCCGCGUGCGUGAUGAAGGUCUUCGGAUCGUAAAACUCUGUUAUUAGGGAAGAACAUAUGUGUAAGUAACUGUGCACAUCUUGACGGUACCUAAUCAGAAAGCCACGGCUAACUACGUGCCAGCAGCCGCGGUAAUACGUAGGUGGCAAGCGUUAUCCGGAAUUAUUGGGCGUAAAGCGCGCGUAGGCGGUUUUUUAAGUCUGAUGUGAAAGCCCACGGCUCAACCGUGGAGGGUCAUUGGAAACUGGAAAACUUGAGUGCAGAAGAGGAAAGUGGAAUUCCAUGUGUAGCGGUGAAAUGCGCAGAGAUAUGGAGGAACACCAGUGGCGAAGGCGACUUUCUGGUCUGUAACUGACGCUGAUGUGCGAAAGCGUGGGGAUCAAACAGGAUUAGAUACCCUGG
rnacentral:rRNA from 1 species